rnacentral:rRNA from 1 species
CCUACGGGUGGCAGCAGUGGGGAAUAUUGGACAAUGGAGGCAACCCUGAUCCAGCCAUGCCGCGUGUGUGAAGAAGGCCCUCGGGUUGUAAAGCACUUUCAGUGAGGAAGAACGCCUGGUGGUUAAUACCCAUCAGGAAAGACAUCACUCACAGAAGAAGCACCGGCUAACUCCGUGCCAGCAGCCGCGGUAAUACGGAGGGUGCGAGCGUUAAUCGGAAUUACUGGGCGUAAAGCGCGCGUAGGUGGCUUGAUAAGCCGGUUGUGAAAGCCCCGGGCUCAACCUGGGAACGGCAUCCGGAACUGUCAAGCUAGAGUGCAGGAGAGGAAGGUAGAAUUCCCGGUGUAGCGGUGAAAUGCGUAGAGAUCGGGAGGAAUACCAGUGGCGAAGGCGGCCUUCUGGACUGACACUGACACUGAGGUGCGAAAGCGUGGGUAGCAAACAGGAUUAGAUACCCUAGUAGUC